AUCAGCUGUUGUUGAGGUAAUGGCCCACCCAAGCCGAUUACAGUACGGGCUCUGAGAAGGAGAAGCCGGAGAUGGGUACUGAGACACGGACCCAGGCCCUAUGGGGCGCAGCAGGCGAGAAACCUUAGCAAUGUGCGAAAGCACGACUGGGUCAGUCCGAGUGAUUCCUGAUAAAGGAGUCUUUUGCCUGUCCUAAAAACACAGGUGAAUAAGGGGUGGGCAAGUCUGGUGUCAGCCGCCGCGGUAAUACCAGCACCUCGAGUGGUCAGGACGUUUAUUGGGCCUAAAGCAUCCGUAGCCGGCGCUGCAAGUCUUCGGUUAAAUCCACCUGCUCAACAGAUGGGCUGCUGGAGAUACUACAGCGCUAGGGAGUGGGAGAGGCAGACGGUAUUCAGUGGGUAGGGGUAAAAUCCUCUGAUCCAUUGAGGACCACCAGUGGCGAAGGCGGUCUGCCAGAACACGUUCGACGGUGAGGGAUGAAAGCUGGGGGAGCAAACCGGAUUAGAUACCCGGGUAGUCCCAGCUGUAAACGAUGCAAACUCGGUGAUGCAUUGGCUUAUGGCCAAUGCAGUGCCGCAGGGAAGCCGUUAAGUUUGCCGC
rnacentral:rRNA from 1 species